AGCGAACGCUGGCGGCAGGCCUAACACAUGCAAGUCGAGCGCUCGUAGCAAUACGAGAGCGGCAGACGGGAGAGUAACACGUGGGAACGUGCCCUUCGGUUCGGAAUAACUCAGGGAAACUUGAGCUAAUACCGGAUACGCCCUUACGGGAAAGAUUUAUUGCCGAAGGAGCGGCCCGCGUCUGAUUAGCUAGUUGGUGAGGUAACGGCUCACCAAGGCGACGAUCAGUAGCUGGUCUGAGAGGAUGACCAGCCUCACUGGGACUGAGACACGGCCCAGACUCCUACGGGAGGGCAGCAGUGGGGAAUAUUGGACAAUGGGCGCAAGCCUGAUCCAGCCAUGCCGCGUGGAUGAUGAAGGCCCUAGGGUUGUAAAGUCCUUUCAGCGGGGAAGAUAAUGACGGUACCCGCAGAAGAAGCCCCGGC
rnacentral:rRNA from 1 species